rnacentral:lncRNA from 12 species
AUCCCUAAGUCAUCGAUUUUAUUACAAUAGUGUAGGCCAUUUCUGCAUGAACAUAAUAAAUUAAGGACCCCAUCAAUCAUGAAAAAUGCUUGACAUUCAUUUUGACUAAAUGUUGUCCUUAAAAUGUCUCUCAACCAACAUUCAGAGCAAACCCACACCUGUGCACUUUGCUCUCCUUGAGGUACACAACUCUGUAUACUGUAUGUUGUCCUAUAUAAAGCACAGCUCAAAGCCGCUCUCUUCACAACACUGCCUGUGUGAUGAGUUCUCACUGAUUGGCACUCAAGUUAAUAGAUACGUGACAAAAUGGCUGAUUGUUCAGCACUCUUCCAUGUGGUGUUUGUCUGCAAUAUUGUGAUUUUACUCUUCAGUGGGGUCCUGAACAUAAUUUUAUGUGACAGACUGAGGAGAAGAAAAUGUGAACCGUGUGCAGCACAUCACAGGAGGCUUCACCUGGCUGUCCCUCCUCAACAAAACUCUGUGUCUGAUGAUCAAGAGAGUGAGGUGAACUAUACCAUGCUGCAAUUCCCUGAAGACAACACAAAAACAGAGAGCUCAGAGAAGAGCAGAAAUGACACUGUCUAUUCCAGUCUUAAAUGCCAAAUCUCAAACAUCACUGAGGAAAACUAAAUCAGGAUUUUCAG